rnacentral:rRNA from 1 species
AUUGAACGCUGGCGGCAUGCCUUACACAUGCAAGUCGAACGGUAACAGGUCUUCGGAUGCUGACGAGUGGCGAACGGGUGAGUAAUACAUCGGAACGUGCCUAGUAGUGGGGGAUAACUACUCGAAAGAGUGGCUAAUACCGCAUGAGAUCUACGGAUGAAAGCAGGGGAUCGCAAGACCUUGUGCUACUAGAGCGGCCGAUGGCAGAUUAGGUAGUUGGUGGGAUAAAAGCUUACCAAGCCGACGAUCUGUAGCUGGUCUGAGAGGACGAUCAGCCACACGGGGAAUGAGACACGGCCCAUACUCCUACGGGAGGGAGCAGUGGGGAAUUUUGGACAAUGGGCGAAAGCCUGAUCCAGCAAUGCCGCGUGCAGGAUGAAGGCCUUCGGGUUGUAAACUGCUUUUGUACGGAACGAAAAGCCCCGGGUUAAUACCCUGGGGUCAUGACGGUACCGUAAGAAUAAGCACCGGCUAACUACGUGCCAGCCGCCGCCGUAA